rnacentral:rRNA from 1 species
UGCCAGACAGGGAAACUGCGUACGGCUCAUUACACCAGCCUUAAUUUACUUGACCUUGACAACCUACUUGGAUAACUGUGGUAAUUCUAGAGCUAAUACAUGCACCAAAGCUCCGAUCCCUUGCGGAGAGGAGCGCAUUUGUUCGCCACAAAACCAAGCGCCUUUCCAGGCGUUCAGUGUUGACUCAGAACAACUUAGCUGAUUGCACGGUCUUGCACCGGCAACGUGUCUUUCAAGUGUCUGCCUUAUCAACUUUCGAUGGUAGUGUACCUGACUACCAUGGUGAUGACGGGUAACGGAGGAUCAGGGUUCGACUCCGGAGAAGGGGCCUGAGAAAUGGCCACUACGUCUAAGGAUGGCAGCAGGCGCGCAAAUUACCCACUCUCAACAUGAGGAGGUAGUGACGAGAAAUAACGAGACCGUUCUCACAUGAGGCCGGUCAUCGGAAUGGGUACAAUUUAAACCCUUUAACGAGUAUCUAUGAGAGGGCAAGUCUGGUGCCAGCAGCCGCGGUAAUUCCAGCUCUCAAAAUGCAUAGAAUUAUUGCUGCGGUUAAAAAGCUCGUAGUUGGAUCUGUGCUGGUCGCCCGGUCUGCCCACUGGGCACGCACUGGUGCGGCCGGCUUUCCUGCCCGGUUUUGCCCGGCGUUGGCCUUCACCGGUCGGCGUCGGUGGCUGGGCGAGUUUACUUUGAACAAAUCAGAGUGCUUCAAACAGGCGUUUCGCUUGAAUGUUCGUGCAUGGAAUAAUAGAAGAGGAUUUCGGUCCGAUUUUAUUGGUUUUGCUGACCGAGAUAAUGGUUAACAGAGACAAACGGGGCCAUUCGUAUUGCUACGUGAGAGGUGAAAUUCUUGGACCGUAGCAAGACGGA